rnacentral:lncRNA from 1 species
GCAGAGUCAUAAUAUACAUGAUACAAAUUCAACUGUGUGCCCUUGGCCCUUAUUGCCCCCCAAACAGAAAGAGAAAGAAAAAAAUAACUAUUUCAAUAGUGGCUGUUGUAAUCACCUAUCCACUCGGUGACUGAGGUCCCAGAGCCGGCCAGAGGAGGGACACGGACCCACUGUCAGCUUGGCUAGUUUUACUUUCUUCGUACCUCUCAGAGGAUCAAAUGGAAAUUGCAAAGGUCAUAUGCAAUAACUCAUUCAAGCUGACCUUUUGAGUUCAAGAGAAACUAGGAUGACAAGAUAGAAGUGUGGCUUUUAGACAGAGGGCCAUCCUGCCUGGGGACAUCAACAGAUCUUGGUAGCUUUAUUUUAGAACUAGAAAGAAUGGCAGGAGAAGCAACGAGCAUCCUCAUUAAAGCUGAUUUACUGGAGAGACUCAAAAUCCUCCUUUCCUCUUUGGUAUCACCCAAGUCACUCAUGCCAAUUUGUGAAGCUGCACAUCAUUAUUUUAAUUGUCUGCAGCCCUUGGGUGAGUUUUAAUCAUCUCAGUGGCCUGGUGGCUACAAGCAGGGCUCUGGACACUACAGUGAAGAGUUUUCACAGGCACAUUUGGUGUCCACCAAUUCAGAUGGGACCAAAGAAACUAAAGGAACGUAGUCUCAUUGAUAAACUUUGGGGCAAGUUUUGGGUUUUGUUUUGUUCCUUCUCUCAUAGCAUAGGAGCUAACUGUCCUCUGAUGUAACAAAGAUAAAUCAGAAUCAGGCUCUGGCAAAGGUUUGUAUUUGAUCAACAAAACACUACACAAAAAAGUAGGUAGUCCGGCAUUGCCCUGCUUUCCAAAGCUCUCACUGCUAUGGGUUCAUCCCUGCUAAAAUUGCUUCCUUUCUGCAAACCUCCCGAUAAUCUUCCUAAAGGAAAAAGCCUUAAACAAAUGAUCCCUCUGCAUAGAAUGUUAAUUGUCAGGUGACAGGAGUGUCAGUGGGUUCAGCUUCAGAGAAAUGCUGAAAUCAGGGACACACAUGUCCUUUCUAGUGCUAUUCAGUUCUCCUUAUGUUCCUACACACAUCCUUCACCCCGGGGAAUCCACAGGUCUGUGCCUCAAGAGCCCCAGAAUCACUCACCCCAGCCUGGCUGCAGAUUCCACCCCCACAGCCAUGGGUAUGCCCUGCCUGCACUUCUGCUCUUUCCUCAAAGCCAUGUGAUGAGACAGAAACCUGAAACAUUCCUUGGGUGCUCUUGGUAUUUGAAUCAUUGUUUAAAUGGGUUUGACACAGCAAAGUUUAGAAACUUUGUGAAGAGAGAAAUAGGUGGCUGGGCAGGGAUGGUUCACAUCUGUAAUCCCGACACUUUAGGAGGCCGAGGUGGAAGGAUCACUUGAGGUCAGGAAUUCGAGACCAGCCUGUCCAACAUGGCAAAACCCCAUCUCUACUAAAAAUACAAAAAUUAGCCAGGCGUGGUGGUGCGUGCCUGGGGUCCCAUCUACUUGGGAGGCUGAGGCACAAGAAUCACUUGAACUGGGAGCAGGACGUUGCAGUGAGUUGAGACCUCACUGCUGCACUCCAGCCUGGGUGACAGGGUGAGACUCCAUCUCAAAAAAAAAAAAAAAAAGAAAAAGAAACAAAAAAUAAAUAAAGAGAGAAAUAGGGAAAAGUGAGAGAAAAGAUGGGAACUGUCAAAAAACAGUGAUCCUGCGGUAUGUCGCAGGAGACUCACAGUAAGCAAAUGCUGGCCGCCUGGAGGGCAGGCAUGGUGCCAGUUGCAUUUGGGUGGCCCCAUCAGAGACCCUGACGGCUGUUCGUAUUGCUGCCACCCUUCUAUCUGGACAUUUCUUGUAAGAUCUUUCAACACUGCUCUAGAUUUGUGUAAUUCUAAUCUCUGUGGCUAUACAGAGAAAAAUGAGGUCCAACCAAAAUAGGAGCAGGGCUCUCUGGAGAAUCUCUUGGAUUCUAAGGGAGGUAUAGCUCAGGGGUGACCUACUAGAAAGUUUGUCUAAGAUCUUUACUGCCCACUGGUGUUGCCAGGGAAACUGGCAUGGUGGAAGUCGGCCCAUGCUGAGCCUUAUUAAUAAGUAGCUGAGAUUUGCUGUCACACAAAGGCUGAGAGACCACCAUGACAUGGCAAUAGACACAGGGUGAGGGCAAAGCAGGGACAUGAAAGAACCACAGUUAUAUGGACACAGUAAGGAGACAGUUAAGGACACUGGGGUAAGUGUAGAGGGCUGGUUCUUGUUGAGAUACAGAAAGAAAAAUAUCUUCCCUUAAAAAAAUCAACACCAUAUUCUUGCCAUAGAGAUAAGAAAAGUGGUGAUGAACCAGCCCAAAGUAAUCUCCAAGGGACCAAGCCUUUUUGGAGAUAUGACAAUCUACAAAGUCGUUGAUUUCCCAACAUUCUCCCUUCUGUGCCUUACAGUGCAGAGUGAUACUGAUUUAUUAAGCCAAAGUGAACUGAGGUUAAUUUAAUUUUGAGGAUUUCUCAACAUGCCUUCAGAGAGUUGGAGACACUCUAGGUUGUUGUGAAACUGAGGCUGGAAGUCCCUGUCAUCCCACAUAUCUAGGUUUAGUGGGACCAACUGAUUGGCUCAGGGGGAGAAAUAAAGGAAGUACUAAGAAACCUCCUUUUUCAGGUGAAGGUAAAUAACAAGAAAAAGGAUAAGCAUGUUUAUUUAAUAAAUGAUUUCAUGAUCUCUGAAAUCCACCCUUCCAGCAUGCAUCUGUGGGGCUAAUCCUGCCUGCUCAGGCCCAGGAGGGGUGAGCCUGCUUGAGCCUCGGGCAGCUGCAGAAUCAGACAGCUGAAGAAAGGCCCGGGUACCAGCCUUUAGAGGUAGGUCAAGUGAGUUAGCCACUUUUCCUAAACAAAGAGUGCACACAUGCACAAGUACUUGAUUAAAAACCAUUUUUUUCUUUUUUCUUUUCUUUCUUUUUUUUUUUUUUUGAGACAGAGUCUCACUCUAUUGCCCAGGCUGAAGUGCAGUGGCAUAAUUUCAGCUCACUGCAACCUCUGUCUCCCUGGUUCAAGCGAUUCUCAUGCCUCAGCCUCCCAGAUGGCUGGGAUUACAGGUGUACACCACCACGCCCGGCUAAUUUUUUCAUUUUUAGUAGAGACAGGCUUUCACUAUGUAGACCAGGCUGGACUCGAACUCCUGACCUCAGGGGAUCUGCCCACCUUAGCCUCCCAAAGUGCUGGGAUUUAGGCAUAAGCCACUGUGCCUGGCCCUGAUUGAAGACAAAUUUCUAUAAACAUUUCCUUCUGAGCAAAUUUCAAGGCAAUUAGAAAGGCUCCUGUCCUUUCUAAGCCUAUAUUUUCAGCUUUUCCUUUAUUUCUGUGAUCUACCCGCAUAUCUUCAUGAUAAAUGUAUUUUUGCUUAAAUUAAUUAGAAUUGGCUUCUGCUGCUU